GGUCACCAUUUACUUGCAUUGUAUGGACCUACAGAGCAGAAAUAUUAUUUUAAAAAUCUUCGUUUGUGUUCUGCAGAUGAAAGAAAGUCACGCAUCUGGGAUGGCAUGAGGUGCUGGAGAACAAGUUGGCCAGUGAACUCAAGCAAGUCAUGGGCAUCCAGAAACAAGAGUAUUAGGAAUGGGUGAUGAAGCUUCAUCGGAACCUACAGAACCCCAAAAACAGCAUGAUCAAUAAGGAGGUCAUCGUGCAGUCCGGUCAGCUGGGGGAGACGCAGGGGCUCGGCUCUACGAGGAGCAGCGACAGCUGGAGGGAGCUUCACCAUCCACUUAAACUUUGCCACAGUGUCCCAAGAAUGCACCGACUUUCACUUCUACAGAGUGGAUGAGCAUCUUGAAAUUGUCCAGCAGGUGGUGCUGUAUGCACGAGCACAGCGCAACUACAAAACAGAGAGAGCAGCCCGAUGCCCAGAAAUGGAG